AUAGUUUCUUCGGAAACUAGAGAGCGGCGUACGGGUGCGUAACACGUGUGCAACCUACCUUUAUCAGGAGAAUAGCCUUUCGAAAGGAAGAUUAAUACUCCAUAAUAUAUUGAAUGGCAUCAUUUAAUAUUGAAAACUCCGGUGGAUAGAGAUGGGCACGCGCAAGAUUAGAUAGUUGGUGAGGUAACGGCUCACCAAGUCAAUGAUCUUUAGGGGUCCUGAGAGGGAGAUCCCCCACACUGGUACUGAGACACGGACCAGACUCCUACGGGAGGCAGCAGUGAGGAAUAUUGGACAAUGGGUGAGAGCCUGAUCCAGCCAUCCCGCGUGAAGGAUGACGGUCCUAUGGAUUGUAAACUUCUUUUGUAUAGGAAUAAACCUUUCUACGUGUAGGAAGCUGAAGGUACUAUACGAAUAAGCACCGGCUAACUCCGUGCCAGCAGCCGCGGUAAUACGGAGGGUGCAAGCGUUAUCCGGAUUUAUUGGGUUUAAAGGGUCCGUAGGCGGACCGAUAAGUCAGUGGUGAAAUCUCAUAGCUUAACUAUGAAACUGCCGUUGAUACUGUCGGUCUUGAGU
rnacentral:rRNA from 1 species